rnacentral:rRNA from 1 species
AGAGUUUGAUCCUGGCUCAGAAUGAACGCUGGCGGCGUGGAUAAGACAUGCAAGUCGGACGAGAGAAUUGCUAGCUUGUUAAUAAUUCUCUAGUGGCGCACGGGUGAGUAACACGUGAGUAACCUGCCCCCGAGAGCGGGAUAGCCCUGGGAAACUGGGAUUAAUACCGCAUAGUAUCGAAAGAUUAAAGCAGCAAUGCGCUUGGGGAUGGGCUCGCGGCCUAUUAGUUAGUUGGUGAGGUAACGGCUCACCAAGGCGAUGACGGGUAGCCGGUCUGAGAGGAUGUCCGGCCACACUGGAACUGAGACACGGUCCAGACACCUACGGGUGGCAGCAGUCGAGAAUCAUUCACAAUGGGGGAAACCCUGAUGGUGUGACGCCGCGUGGGGGAAUGAAGGUCUUCGGAUUGUAAACCCCUGUCAUGUGGGAGCAAAUUAAAAAGAUAGUACCACAAGAGGAAGAGACGGCUAACUCUGUGCCAGCAGCCGCGGUAAUACAGAGGUCUCAAGCGUUGUUCGGAAUCACUGGGCGUAAAGCGUGCGUAGGCUGUUUCGUAAGUCGUGUGUGAAAGGCGCGGGCUCAACCCGCGGACGGCACAUGAUACUGCGAGACUAGAGUAAUGGAGGGGGAACCGGAAUUCUCGGUGUAGCAGUGAAAUGCGUAGAUAUCGAGAGGAACACUCGUGGCGAAGGCGGGUUCCUGGACAUUAACUGACGCUGAGGCACGAAGGCCAGGGGAGCGAAAGGGAUUAGAUACCCCUGUAGUCCUGGCAGUAAACGGUGCACGCUUGGUGUGCGGGGAAUCGACCCCCUGCGUGCCGGAGCUAACGCGUUAAGCGUGCCGCCUGGGGAGUACGGUCGCAAGAUUAAAACUCAAAGAAAUUGACGGGGACCCGCACAAGCGGUGGAGUAUGUGGCUUAAUUCGAUGCAACGCGAAGAACCUUACUUGGGCUUGACAUGUAAUGAACAACAUGUGAAAGCAUGCGACUCUUCGGAGGCGUUACACAGGUGCUGCAUGGCCGUCGUCAGCUCGUGUCGUGAGAUGUUUGGUUAAGUCCAGCAACGAGCGCAACCCCUGUUGCCAGUUACCAGCACGUGAAGGUGGGGACUCUGGCGAGACUGCCCAGAUCAACUGGGAGGAAGGUGGGGACGACGUCAGGUCAGUAUGGCCCUUAUGCCCAGGGCUGCACACGUACUACAAUGCCCAGUACAGAGGGGGCCGAAGCCGCGAGGCGGAGGAAAUCCUGAAAACUGGGCCCAGUUCGGACUGUAGGCUGCAACCCGCCUACACGAAGCCGGAAUCGCUAGUAAUGGCGCAUCAGCUACGGCGCCGUGAAUACGUUCCCGGGUCUUGCACACACCGCCCGUCA